UACGAACCGUCCAAACGUUAUUCGGAAUCACUGGGCUUACAGAGUUCGUAGGCGGCGGAGAAAGUAGGGUGUGAAAGCCCUCGGCUCAACCGAGGAACAGCGCCCUAAACUACUUUGCUUGAGGAGGCUAGAGGUGAGCAGAACAGAUGGUGGAGCGGUGAAAUGCGUUGAUAUCAUCUGGAAUACCGGAGGCGAAGGCGGCUCACUGGGACCUUUCUGACGCUGAGGAACGAAAGCUAGGGUAGCGAAC
rnacentral:rRNA from 1 species